GACGAACGCUGGCGGCGCGCCUAACACAUGCAAGUCGAACGAGCGAGAGAGAGCUUGCUUUCUCGAGCGAGUGGCGAACGGGUGAGUAACGCGUGAGGAACCUGCCUCAAAGAGGGGGACAACAGUUGGAAACGACUGCUAAUACCGCAUAAGCCCACGGUGCCGCAUGGCACAGAGGGAAAAGGAGCAAUCCGCUUUGAGAUGGCCUCGCGUCCGAUUAGCUAGUUGGUGAGGUAACGGCCCACCAAGGCGACGAUCGGUAGCCGGACUGAGAGGUUGAACGGCCACAUUGGGACUGAGACACGGCCCAGACUCCUACGGGAGGCAGCAGUGGGGAAUAUUGCACAAUGGGGGAAACCCUGAUGCAGCGACGCCGCGUGGAGGAAGAAGGUCUUCGGAUUGUAAACUCCUGUUGUUGGGGAAGAUAAUGACGGUACCCAACAAGGAAGUGACGGCUAACUGCGUGCCAGCAGCCGCGGUAAAACGUAGGUCACAAGCGUUGUCCGGAAUUACUGGGUGUAGAGGGAGCGCAGGCGGGAAGACAAGUUGGAAGUGAAAUCUAUGGGCUCAACCCAUAAACUGCUUUCAAAACUGUUUUUCUUGAGUAGUGCAGAGGUAGGCGGAAUUCCCGGUGUAGCGGUGGAAUGCGUAGAUAUCGGGAGGAACACCAGUGGCGAAGGCGGCCUACUGGGCACCAACUGACGCUGAGGCUCGAAAGUGUGGGUAGCAAACAGGAUUAGAUACCCUGGUAGUCCACACCGUAAACGAUGAUUACUAGGUGUUGGAGGAUUGACCCCUUCAGUGCCGCAGUUAACACAAUAAGUAAUCCACCUGGGGAGUACGACCGCAAGGUUGAAACUCAAAGGAAUUGACGGGGGCCCGCACAAGCAGUGGAGUAUGUGGUUUAAUUCGACGCAACGCGAAGAACCUUACCAAGUCUUGACAUCCCUUGACAGGCAUAGAAAUAUGUUUUCUCUUCGGAGCAAGGAGACAGGUGGUGCAUGGUUGUCGUCAGCUCGUGUCGUGAGAUGUUGGGUUAAGUCCCGCAACGAGCGCAACCCUUAUGGUCAGUUACUACGCAAGAGGACUCUGGCCAGACUGCCGUUGACAAAACGGAGGAAGGUGGGGAUGACGUCAAAUCAUCAUGCCCUUUAUGACUUGGGCUACACACGUACUACAAUGGCGUUAAACAAAGAGAAGCAAGACCGCGAAGUGGAGCAAAACUCAGAAACAACGUCCCAGUUCGGACUGCAGGCUGCAACUCGCCUGCACGAAGUCGGAAUUGCUAGUAAUCGUGGAUCAGCAUGCCACGGUGAAUACGUUCCCGGGCCUUGCACA
rnacentral:rRNA from 1 species